rnacentral:lncRNA from 1 species
UUAAACCGAAUUAACAUUAGGACGAUAAUAAAAAGAUUCAAAGCACAAACCGACGACGGUGACCAUUGUCUUAACCACGUGGCACCUUGUCGGAAACUCAACUUCCAUUGACGGAGGGGAGCGAGAACAAGAAGCAAGCAGAGGUUUCUCUUAUGAUCCUUGAUCGUGCAAGGCAGAUCGAGAUUUGAGGGAUUACGAGUAUCAAUUAUCGUUCUUCCGUUGGACACUGUUUCGGAUCUCACCUCGCAGAUCCUCCACCGUCUCCGGCGUAAUGGAUCCGACUUCUCAACCCGCCAAGAUUUACAAGGAAGAUUCAACAUGGUGCAAGUAAAUCUGAUCAGGAAUAGAUCUUCAUAGGACGACUCAGAUAAUGCAGUUAGGCGUAGAUUUUCAUCAGGCAAAUAGUAUUGUCGGUUGUCGAUUGUCUAUGUAAUCUUUCUCAUAAAUAUAGUGUCAUAAUAAAUCACCGUUAAAAAAAAAAAAUUGUGUGUGAACCGUAAAAGAAAUUAAUCAUGCAUGCAUGCAUCUUCUUUUUCUUUUUUUUUGAAAAAAUGCAUCUUAAUCUUGCAUGAUAACUUAUAACAAAAUAACUGAUGAAUUAUCAUGCAUGCAUCAUCCAUCGUGUUUCUACAAACCAUAAGAGUUUAUAUCUUCUAGUGAUCAGAGUCUAUAAAAUCAUAAAUGAUUUAUGCAUCUAUAAUAUUUUAAGGGCAAAGAGGGUAGAGAGAGAUAGUAAGAGAGAAGAGGAGAGGGUAUAAUUUUGGUUAUAUAAUAAAUUAUGGGUUUUUGUUUGGUUAUAUCACCUAAUUUCCCAUAUUUUAAUGCAUCAUCAGAAUCCAAAAACUCAGAGAGACACAGGUGCUAGCUUUUGCUGAUGGUUGAAGCGUCGUGGUCACUUGAGACCUAAGAUUGCUCUCGUCUUGUCUUCCACUAAGACAUCGUAAUCAAUAAGAUUAAUAGUUUUUUCCAUUUGAAUUCGGUUCAAUUUGAUUGAAAUUUGUUUGGUUUCUUAAAUCAAUCUCGGUUUCGAUUCGGUUCGGUUCACUUAAACCGAAUUAACAUUAGGACGAUAAUAAAAAGAUUCAAAGCACAAACCGACGACGGUGACCAUUGUCUUAACCACGUGGCACCUUGUCGGAAACUCAACUUCCAUUGACGGAGGGGAGCGAGAACAAGAAGCAAGCAGAGGUUUCUCUUAUGAUCCUUGAUCGUGCAAGGCAGAUCGAGAUUUGAGGGAUUACGAGUAUCAAUUAUCGUUCUUCCGUUGGACACUGUUUCGGAUCUCACCUCGCAGAUCCUCCACCGUCUCCGGCGUAAUGGAUCCGACUUCUCAACCCGCCGUUGUCAUCGACAACGGAACGGGGUACGUAAAGUUUCGAUUUUUACAAUCAUGCGGUUAAGGUGUUCGAUAAAAUGCCUCAACCAGAUUCAUUUUGCGUAUUGCAGGUACACGAAAAUGGGCUUCGCGGGCAAUGUAGAACCGUGUUUUAUUCUUCCAACGGUAGUCGCAGCCAACGAGUCUUUCUUGAGCCAACCCAAGAGUUCUUUAAAGGGAACUUGGGCGGCACAGCACAACGCUGGCGUUGCGGCUGAUAUGGACU